GCGGUCGCUCCUAUAAUGCAGUCGACGAACUCUGGUAUUGAUUGGUGCUUGCAUCAUGAUUUACAUUUGAGUGAGUGGCGAACUGGUGAGUAACACGUGGGAAACCUGCCCAGAAGCGGGGGAUAACACCUGGAAACAGAUGCUAAUACCGCAUAACAACUUGGACCGCAUGGUCCGAGCUUGAAAGAUGGCUUCGGCUAUCACUUUUGGAUGGUCCCGCGGCGUAUUAGCUAGAUGGUGGGGUAACGGCUCACCAUGGCAAUGAUACGUAGCCGACCUGAGAGGGUAAUCGGCCACAUUGGGACUGAGACACGGCCCAAACUCCUACGGGAGGCAGCAGUAGGGAAUCUUCCACAAUGGACGAAAGUCUGAUGGAGCAACGCCGCGUGAGUGAAGAAGGGUUUCGGCUCGUAAAACUCUGUUGUUAAAGAAGAACAUAUCUGAGAGUAACUGUUCAGGUAUUGACGGUAUUUAACCAGAAAGCCACGGCUAACUACGUGCCAGCAGCCGCGGUAAUACGUAGGUGGCAAGCGUUGUCCGGAUUUAUUGGGCGUAAAGCGAGCGCAGGCGGUUUUUUAAGUCUGAUGUGAAAGCCUUCGGCUCAACCGAAGAAGUGCAUCGGAAACUGGGAAACUUGAGUGCAGAAGAGGACAGUGGAACUCCAUGUGUAGCGGUGAAAUGCGUAGAUAUAUGGAAGAACACCAGUGGCGAAGGCGGCUGUCUGGUCUGUAACUGACGCUGAGGCUCGAAAGUAUGGGUAGCAACAGGAUUAGAUACCCUGGUAGUCCAUACCGUAAACGAUGAAUGCUAAGUGUUGGAGGGUUUCCGCCCUUCAGUGCUGCAGCUAACGCAUUAAGCAUUCCGCCUGGGGAGUACGGCCGCAAGGCUGAAACUCAAAGGAAUUGACGGGGGCCCGCACAAGCGGUGGAGCAUGUGGUUUAAUUCGAAGCUACGCGAAGAACCUUACCAGGUCUUGACAUACUAUGCAAAUCUAGAGAUUAGACGUUCCCUUUCGGGGACAUGGAUACAGGUGUGCAUGGUGUCGUCAGCUCGUGUCGUGAGAUGUGGUAGUCCCGCACGAGCGCACCCUUAUUAUCAGUGCAGCAUAGUGGGCACUCUGGUGAGACUGCGGUGACAACCGGAGAAGGUGGGGA
rnacentral:rRNA from 1 species